GAGGUCUUGGCUUAAAAUUAAAGUAUCUGAGUUGCAAUCAGAAGAUGUGUUUGUGAAUACAGGCCUUC
rnacentral:tRNA from 1 species